ACCGGAGAGGGAGCCUGAGAAACGGCUACCACAUCCAAGGAUGGCAGCAGGCGCGCAAAUUACCCAAUCCCGACACGGGGAGGUAGUGACAAUAAAUAACAAUACGGGGUUCUUUAGGAUCUCGUAAUUGGAAUGAGUACAAUUUAAAUCUCUUAACGAGGAACAAUUGGAGGGCAAGUCUGGUGCCAGCAGCCGCGGUAAUUCCAGCUCCAAUAGCGUAUAUUAAAGUUGUUGCAGUUAAAAAGCUCGUAGUUGAAUUUCGGGGUUAGUAGGUUGGUCAUGCCUCUGGUAUGUACUGGUCUCACUGAUUCCUCCUUCCUUAUGAACCGUAAUGCCAUUAAUUUGGUGUUGCGGGGAAUUUGGACUGUUACUUUGAAAAAAUUAGAGUGUUUAAAGCAAGCUAACGCUUGAAUACAUUAGCAUGGAAUAAUGAAAUAGGACGUUCGAUCUUAUUUUGUUGGUUUCUAGGAUUGACGUAAUGAUUAAUAGGGAUAGUUGGGGGCAUUAGUAUUCAAUUGUCAGAGGUGAAAUUCUUGGAUUUAUUGAAGACUAACUACUGCGAAAGCAUUUGCCAAGGAUGUUUUCAUUAAUCAAGAACGAAAGUUAGGGGAUCGAAGACGAUCAGAUACCGUCGUAGUCUUAACCAUAAACUAUGCCGACUAGGGAUCGGAUGAUGUUAAUUUUUUAAUGACUCAUUCGGCGCCUUACGGGAAACC
rnacentral:rRNA from 1 species